ensembl:snRNA
UCUAUCCUCGUCAUGGGGUGACUGGGAUGUUCAAUGAGCGUGUAGCGAGAGCGUCCCUGCUGACACCAUAACAACACGUUCGCAUCACCCGAGUCCUAGACUUGGUAACUGGUGCAAUUUUUGGAACC